ACAUCCACAUUCUGUUAGAGACUGGGGCUCCUGAGUGGCGCAGCGGUCUAAGGCAUGGCAUUUUUUAUAUAUAUAUAUUUUUCACCUUUAUUUAACUUGGUAGGCUAGUUGAGAACAAGUUCUCAUUUACAACUGCAACCUGGCCAAGAUAAAGCAAAGCAGUGCGACACAAACAACAACACAGAGAUACACAUGGAAUAAACACGCGUACAGUCAAUAACACAAUAGAAAAAAUAAAGUCUAUAUACAGUGUGUGCAAAUGGCGUGAGGAGGUAGUGAAGUAAUUACAAUUUAGCAUAUUAACACUGGAGUGAUAGAUGUGCAGAUGAUGAUGUGCAAGUAGAAAUACUGGUGUGCAAAAGAGCAGAAAAGUAAAUAAAAACAAUAUGGGGAUGAGGAGAGAGUUUACAGUCUAGCCAGACACCUAGGUAUUUGUAGUUGUCCACAUAUUCUAAAUCAGAACCGUCCAGAGUAGUGAUGCUAGUCGGGCUGGCGCAUGCGGGCAGAAAACGGUUGAAAAGCAUGCCUUUAGUUUUACUAGCGUUUAACCUGUUGAUCCUACCCCCUACUAUUUCGAACAUUCUGUUAAAAAUCACGCAACAUUUCAGCGCCCUGCUACUCAUGCCAGGAAUAUAGUAUAUGCAUAUGAUUAGUAUGUGUGGAUAGAAAACACUCAGACGUUACUAAAACUGGUUAAAUCACGGCUGUGACUAUAACAGAACGUGCGUUUCAUCGAAAAGCGCAGGAAAAUCUGAUCACUGAAAAUUGGAAAAUAUAUCAAGGCGCCACUUGAAUGUAUUGUUGAAUGGGAUCCACAUAACCUGGAGCCGAGAUUGCAAUUCCUACAGCUUCCACACGAUGUCAACAGUCUUGUCAUUUGCCUAGGAUUUGUUUCUUGGUCAAACGAACAAGAGACAGCCCAUUUCUUCCGGUCUCUGACCGGAUAUUUUGGUUGAGAUUUAUCCGGACAUUAUUUCAAGACGGAGAGCUAUAGAAUAUACAUCGCCUCGUGAUCAAUUUGAUCGAUUAUUAACGUUUACUAAUACCUAAAGUUGCAUUACAAAAGUAUUUCGAAGUGUUUUGUGAAAGUUUAUCGUCGACUUUUUUAAUUAAAAUAAAUGACGUUGCGUUAAAAAACGCUGUUUUUUUCCUUGAUCACAGUCUUCAUAGAUCGAUAUCUAGGCUAUAUAUGGACCGAUUUAAACGAAAAAAAGACCCAAUAGUGAUGUUUAUGGGACAUCUAGGAGUGCCAACAAAGAAGAUCGUCAAAGGUAAUGAAUGUUUUAUAUUUUAUUUCUGCAUUUUGUGUAGCGCCGACUAUGCUAAUUUUUAGGGGUGUUGCAUGCUAUCAGAUAAUAGCUUCUCAUGCUUUCGCCGAAAAGCAUUUUAAAAAUCUGACUUGUUGGCUGGAUUCACAACGAGUGUAGCUUUAAUUCAGUACCCUGCAUGUGUGUUUUAAUGAAUGUUUGAGUUUUAACGAGUGCUAUUAGCAUUUAGCGUAGCGCAUUUGCAUUUCCAGAUGGCUAGAUGGGACGCAUGCGUGUCGGGUCGACUUAAGAGGUUAAGAGCAGUUGGAGGCCACCGAAGGAGUGUUGCAUGGCAUUGAAGCUCAUUUGGAGGUUUGUUAACACAUUGUCCAAAGAAGGGCCGGGCCAGAUGUAUACAGAAUGGUGCCGUCUGUAUAGAGGUGUCAGGGAAUCACCCGCAGCAAGAGCGACAUCGUUGAUAUAUACAGAGAAAAGAGUUGGCCCGAGAAUUAAACCCUGUGGUACCCCCUAGAGACUGCCAGAGGUCCGGACAACAUGCCCUCCGAUUUGACACACUAAACUCUGUCUGAGAAGUAGUUGGUGAACCAGGCGAGGCAGUCAUUUGAGAAACCAAGGCUGUUGAAUCUGCCAAUAAAAAUACCAUGAUUGACAGAGUCGAAAGCCUUGGCCAGGUCGAUGAAGACGGCUGCACAGUAUUGUCUUUUAUCGAUGGCGGUUAUGAUAUCAUUUCGUACCUUGAGCGUGACUGAGGUGCACCCAUGAUCAGCUCGGAAACCAGAUUGCACAGCGGAGACGGUGCGGUGGGAUUCGAAAUGGUCAAUGAUCUGUUUAUUAACUUGGCUUUCGAAGACUUUAGAAAGGCAGGGCAGGAUGGAUAUAGGUCUAUAACAGUUUGGGUCUAGAGUGUCACCACCUUUGAAGAGGGGGAUGACCGCGGCAGCUUUCCAAUCUUUAGGGAUCUCAGACGAUACGAAAGAGAGGUUUAACAGACUGGUAAUAGGGAUUGCAACAAUAGCAGCGGAUAACUUUAGAAAGAGAGGGUCCAGGUUGUCUAGCCCAGCUGCUUUGUACGGGUCCAGGUUUUGCAGCUCUUUCAGAACAUCUGCUAUCUGGAUUUGGGUGAACGAGAAGCUGCGGAGGCUUGGGCAAGUAGCUGCGAGGGGUGCGGAGCUGUUGGCCACGGUUGGGGAAGCCAGGAGGAAAGCAUGGCCAGCCGUAGAGAAAUGCUUGUUGAAAUUCUUGAUUAUCGUGGAUUUAUCAGUGGUGACAGUGUUACCUAUCCUCCUUGUGCAGUGGGCAGCUGGGAGGAGGUGCUCUUAUUCUCCAUGGACCUUACAGUGUCCCAAAAACUUUUGGAGUUAGAGCUACAGGAUGCAAAUUUCUGUUUGAAAAAGCUAGCAUUUGCUUUCCUGACUGACUGCGUGUAUUGGUUCCUGACUUCCAUGACAAGUUUCAUAUCGCGCAGACUAUUUGUUGCUAGUGCAGUACGCCACAGAAUCUUUUUGUGCUGGUCAAGGGCAGUCAGGUCUGGAGUGAACCAAGGGCUAUAUCUGUUCUUAGUUCACAUUUUUUUGAAAGGGGCAUGCUUAUUUAAGAUGGUGAGGAAAGCACUUUUAAAGAACUACCAGACAUCCUCGACUGACGUGAUGAGGUCAAUAUCCUUCCACGAUACCCAGGCCAGGUCGAUUAGAAAGGCCUGCUCGCAGAAGUGUUUUAGGGAGCGUUUGACAGUGAUGAGGGGUGGUCGUUUGACCGCAGACCCGGAGUGGAUGCAGGCAAUGAGGCAGUGAUCGCUGAGAUCCGGAUUGAAAACAGCAGAGGUGUAUUAGGAGGGCAAGUUGGUCAGGAUAAUAUCUAUGAAAGUGCCCAUGUUUAAGGAUUUAGGGUUGUACCUGGUGAGUUCGUUGAUAAUUUGUGUGAGAUUGAGGGCAACUACCUUAGAUUGUUGGACUGCCGGGGUGUUAAGCAUAUCCCAGUUUAGGUCACCUAACAGAAUGGAUCCUGAAGAUAGAUGGGGGGGCAAUCAAUUCACAUAUGGUGUCCAGGGCACAGUUGGGAGGUGAGGGGGGUCUAUAACAGGCGGCAACAGUGAGAGACUUAUUUCUGGAGAGAUUCAUUUUUAAAAUUAGAAGCUCAAACUGUUUGGGCAUAGACCUGGAAAGUAUGACAGAACUUUGCAGUCUAUCUCUGCAGUAGAUUGCAUCUCCUCCCCCUUUGGUCGUUCUAUUUUGUCUGAAAAUGUUGUAGUUGAGGAUGGAAAUCUCAGAAUUUUUAGUGGCCUUCCUCAGCCAGGAUUCAGACAUGGGAAGGACAUCAGGGUUGGUGGAGUGUGCUAAAGCAGUGAGUAAAACAAACUAAGGGAGGAGGCUUCUGAUGUUAACAUGCAUGAAACCAAGGCUUUUUCGGGUUACAAAAGUCAACAAAUGAGAGUGCCGGGGGACACGCGGGGCCUGGGUUAACCUCCACAUUACCCGAGGAACAGAGGAGGUGUAGGAUGAGCGUACGGCUAAAGGAUAUGAAAACUGGUCAUCUAGUGCGUUGGGGACAGAGAAUAAAAGGAGCAGAUUUCUGGGCGUGGUAGAAUAGAUUCAUGGCAUAAUGUACAGACAGGGGUAUGGUGGGGUGUGGGUACAGUGGAGAUAAAGCCAGGCACCGAGUGAUGAUAAGAGAGGUUGCAUCUCUGGAUGGGCUAGUUAUGCUGGGUGAGGUCACCGCAUGUGUGGGAGGUCGGACACGUACAAGACAUAUUGACAUUUGAGAGAAACAAAGCAAUCACAGGUUUGAUUGGGAGAGCUAGCUAAGACAACAACAGCUAAUCAGCUGAGACAACAACAACAGGUAAAAUGGUGAUGAAGGGGAAGAGAGGGUCGGUUAACUACACACAGGGCCUGAGUUCCAGGCUGGGGCCGACAGAUAAACAAAAACAACAACAACAGGUAAAAUGGUGAUGAAGGGGAAGAGAGGGUCGGUUAACUACACACAGGGCCUGAGUUCCAGGCUGGGGCCGACAGAUAAACAAAAACAACAACAACAGGUAAAAUGGUGAUGAAGGGGCAGAGAGGGUCGGUUAACUACACACAGGGCCUGAGUUCCAGGCUGGGGCCGACAGAUAGACAAAAACAACAACAACAGGUAAAAUGGUGAUGAAGGGGCAGAGAGGGUCGGUUAACUACACACAGGGCCUGAGUUCCAGGCUGGGGCCGACAGAUAAACAAAAACAACAACAACAACAGGUAAAAUGGUGAUGAAGGGGCAGAGAGGGUCGGUUAACUACACACAGGGCCUGAGUUCCAGGCUGGGGCCGACAGAUAAACAACAACAACAGGUAAAAUGGUGAUGAUGGGGCAGAGAGGGUCGGUUAACUACACACGGGGCCUGAGUUCCAGGCUGGGGCCGACAGAUAAACAACAACAACAGGUAAAAUGGUGAUGAAGGGGCAGAGAGGGUCGGUUAACUACACACAGGGCCUGAGUUCCAGGCUGGGGCCGACAGAUAAACAACAACAACAGGUAAAAUGGUGAUGAAGGGGCAGAGAGGGUCGGUUAACUACACACAGGGCCUGAGUUCCAGGCUGGGGCCGACAGAUAAACAACAACAACAGGUAAAAUGGUGAUGAAGGGGCAGAGAGGGUCGGUUAACUACACACAGGGCCUGAGUUCCAGGCUGGGGCCGACAGAUAAACAACAACAACAGGUAAAAUGGUGAUGAAGGGGCAGAGAGGGUCGGUUAACUACACACAGGGCCUGAGUUCCAGGCUGGGGCCGACAGAUAAACAACAACAACAGGUAAAAUGGUGAUGAUGGGGCAGAGAGGGUCGGUUAACUACACACAGGGCCUGAGUUCCAGGCUGGGGCCGACAGAUAAACAACAACAACAGGUAAAAUGGUGAUGAUGGGGCAGAGAGGGUCGGUUAACUACACACAGGGCCUGAGUUCCAGGCUGGGGCCGACAGAUAAACAACAACAACAGGUAAAAUGGUGAUGAAGGGGCAGAGAGGGUCGGUUAACUACACACAGGGCCUGAGUUCCAGGCUGGGGCCGACAGAUAAACAACAACAACAGGUAAAAUGGUGAUGAUGGGGCAGAGAGGGUCGGUUAACUACACACAGGGCCUGAGUUCCAGGCUGGGGCCGACAGAUAAACAACAACAACAGGUAAAAUGGUGAUGAAGGGGCAGAGAGGGUCGGUUAACUACACACAGGGCCUGAGUUCCAGGCUGGGGCCGACAGAUAAACAACAACAACAGGUAAAAUGGUGAUGAAGGGGCAGAGAGGGUCGGUUAACUACACACAGGGCCUGAGUUCCAGGCUGGGGCCGACAGAUAAACAACAACAACAGGUAAAAUGGUGAUGAUGGGGCAGAGAGGGUCGGUUAACUACACACAGGGCCUGAGUUCCAGGCUGGGGCCGACAGAUAAACAACAACAACAGGUAAAAUGGUGAUGAAGGGGCAGAGAGGGUCGGUUAACUACACACAGGGCCUGAGUUCCAGGCUGGGGCCGACAGAUAAACAACAACAACAGGUAAAAUGGUGAUGAAGGGGCAGAGAGGGUCGGUUAACUACACACAGGGCCUGAGUUCCAGGCUGGGGCCGACAGAUAAACAACAACAACAGGUAAAAUGGUGAUGAAGGGGCAGAGAGGGUCGGUUAACUACACACAGGGCCUGAGUUCCAGGCUGGGGCCGACAGAUAAACAACAACAACAGGUAAAAUGGUGAUGAAGGGGCAGAGAGGGUCGGUUAACUACACACAGGGCCUGAGUUCCAGGCUGGGGCCGACAGAUAAACAACAACAACAGGUAAAAUGGUGAUGAAGGGGCAGAGAGGGUCGGUUAACUACACACAGGGCCUGAGUUCCAGGCUGGGGCCGACAGAUAGACAAAAACAACAACAACAAAAAGCAGUGCUAGAGGCAUCACUACAUAUCAUGGUUUGAUUCCAGGCUGUAUCACAACCGUCCCAUAGGGCGGGCACAAAUGGCCCAGCCAUUAGGCAUUAGGGUUUGGCCGGGGAAGGCCGUCAUUGUAAAUAAGAAGUUGUUCUUAACUGACUUGCCUAGUUAAAUAAAGGUUAAAUAAAAUAAGGAAAUAAAAACAGACACAUACAUGACUCCCAAUACCUACUAUACAGGAGAUCACAUAUAUUGAAAAUAUAGUUCAAUUUCCUUCUCAUCCGUAGCCAUAUUCAGUUGCAAAAACUAAUUAUCUGGACUGUUUCCCUCUUAAGUUGGUUUCUGACUAAAAUUAGAGGUGUUUAACCUCUCCCCUUUCAAAUCAUAACCAUUUAAGAUCAGAGAAUUUAAAUGAGGCUAGUUCCAAAACAUUAACGGCAAAUAGCCGAGAGCCCGAGACAGUUACUAAGUCUUAAAUAACAGUGUUAUCUAAGAUUUGCAACUACCGCAUCAAACGUACUUGUUGACCCAAUUGAAGCGGAAGGAGCAAUCUGUAGAGGAUCAAAGCUAAACCAUUCUGGGAGAUGAGCUAAGAGAUAAUCCCAGUAAUCAUCUUCACAUCCUGCCUGCAGUAUUGAUAAAAUGUGUUUUUUUUAAAGAGCUUUUUUGUUUUUGCUGAAGAGCAAUCCUAUGGGGCUGCAGCAUCCCUGUCUGUUCAGACAACCAUUACUUAAACUAACAUAGUCUUUGCUGGUGUUCUGCCACCCACCCACACAGACAGACUAACUCCAGUGGGAUCGGCUGACACAAACAUCCACAACAUCCUCUAUCAGUUUCUCCCUAAUCUAACGCUUCACCCGAUCCAUACCUCUCUGGUUUCACUGGCAAAAUUCUAGAAGCAUCUGUUAGGGAGGAACAAUGAAGGUGAAUGCAUGCAGGGUCAAAUUCACCAACACUCAAUGCCAUGUCACUAAUUACUUCACAUUCAGUGAAGAUCACAUGGCUCUAGAGUAUCACACACACACGCUGCUUGAUGUAGUAAGUCUCACAUAGUAAGUAUCAAGAUAAUGUUGGAAAAUGUUUAGCUGUCAUUUGUUAAGUUACGGCACGACAACGCUAGCUAGUGAUAGCUAAA